rnacentral:rRNA from 1 species
GAUGAACGCUGGCGGCGUGCCUAAUACAUGCAAGUCGAGCGAACGGACGAGAAGCUUGCUUCUCUGAUGUUAGCGGCGGACGGGUGAGUAACACGUGGAUAACCUACCUAUAAGACUGGGAUAACUUCGGGAAACCGGAGCUAAUACCGGAUAAUAUUUUGAACCGCAUGGUUCAAAAGUGAAAGACGGUCUUGCUGUCACUUAUAGAUGGAUCCGCGCUGCAUUAGCUAGUUGGUAAGGUAACGGCUUACCAAGGCAACGAUGCAUAGCCGACCUGAGAGGGUGAUCGGCCACACUGGAACUGAGACACGGUCCAGACUCCUACGGGAGGCAGCAGUAGGGAAUCUUCCGCAAUGGGCGAAAGCCUGACGGAGCAACGCCGCGUGAGUGAUGAAGGUCUUCGGAUCGUAAAACUCUGUUAUUAGGGAAGAACAUAUGUGUGAGUAACUGUGCACAUCUUGACGGUACCUAAUCAGAAAGCCACGGCUAACUACGUGCCAGCAGCCGCGGUAAUACGUAGGUGGCAAGCGUUAUCCGGAAUUAUUGGGCGUAAAGCGCGCGUAGGCGGUUUUUUAAGUCUGAUGUGAAAGCCCACGGCUCAACCGUGGAGGGUCAUUGGAAACUGGAAAACUUGAGUGCAGAAGAGGAAAGUGGAAUUCCAUGUGUAGCGGUGAAAUGCGCAGAGAUAUGGAGGAACACCAGUGGCGAAGGCGACUCUCUGGCCUGUAACUGACGCUGAUGUGCGAAAGCGCGGGGAUCAAACAGGAUUAGAUACCCUGGUAGUCCACGCCGUAAACGAUGAGUGCUAAGUGUUAGGGGGUUUCCGCCCCUUAGUGCUGCAGCUAACGCAUUAAGCACUCCGCCUGGGGAGUACGACCGCAAGGUUGAAACUCAAAGGAAUUGACGGGGACCCGCACAAGCGGUGGAGCAUGUGGUUUAAUUCGAAGCAACGCGAAGAACCUUACCAAAUCUUGACAUCCUUUGACAACUCUAGAGAUAGAGCCUUCCCCUUCGGGGGACAAAGUGACAGGUGGUGCAUGGUUGUCGUCAGCUCGUGUCGUGAGAUGUUGGGUUAAGUCCCGCAACGAGCGCAACCCUUAAGCUUAGUUGCCAUCAUUAAGUUGGGCACUCUAAGUUGACUGCCGGUGACAAACCGGAGGAAGGUGGGGAUGACGUCAAAUCAUCAUGCCCCUUAUGAUUUGGGCUACACACGUGCUACAAUGGACAAUACAAAGGGCAGCGAAACCGCGAGGUCAAGCAAAUCCCAUAAAGUUGUUCUCAGUUCGGAUUGUAGUCUGCAACUCGACUACAUGAAGCUGGAAUCGCUAGUAAUCGUAGAUCAGCAUGCUACGGUGAAUACGUUCCCGGGUCU